GUGUGAAGCUGAAAGCUGCAGGCGAGACUCUACCUAGGAAAACGUCAGGUGACUUCGAGUAGGGUACAGCGCAGGACGAAGUGUGUGUCCAACGUGGACUAAAAUGUGGGAAGAGAUUCCUUUAUUAAAAAGCAGUCUACCUUCCUGGAAACAAUCCAUCACACUCCCUACGGAAGAGGAUCACACGCCCUGCGACUUCUCAACCUCUACGUGCUGAGAGACAGUCCAGGUUAAGGAACCUCUCAGGACUGCAGUCUGAAUGAGCAGAACCGAUGGCAAACGUUUCCAGCAUUCAGUGUUCAUCUAGCUCUCAAUGCAGGGAAUCUAAGCAUGUUACAUCAAGACAUAGAUAUGCAAAUUGAAGAGUAAUAUGAAUUGUUUAUAUUACAAAAUGUUCUUCAGCUGCCAUGCGCAAGUGCUACAGACCCUGCGCUCUUUGUAAGCCCCUCUGGAAUAAUGAAUGGGGACAACGAGAAACAAGCAGAGGGAUGCUCCGGUAUUGCCGGGGAGACAGGCUGCUAAGGGAAAGAAGGCUUUGAUGCUGAAUUCAGUUGUCUUUUCUCCUUCCUAAGUGCUUCCCCUGCUCGCAUCCUCCCUGCACCGUGGAGCAGCGUCUGUCUGAGGUUGGCAGCAGCACAAGGACAAAUCAAGACACUCAGAAGCAAAUGCUUUUGUUUUGCAGACAUAGGACCAGAGAUGCGGGGAAGUGUUACCCUGGGGCCUGAACAGCAUCAGGCGUGACAGCAGAUGUUUAGUGCCAUGGGUUGCACGGUGCCGCUGUUGAGUACCAGAUACUGAGGCGAUCUGCCUGUGACUUUUAAUAAAUAGUGUGUGUGUGCUGUCUAUUCAGAACCACUAAAGGGAGGAGUCCAGGGCAAGGGUUCCUCUUGCCCAAAUCUAAAGGCUCCAUUAGACAACCAACCAAGCACUCAAGCAGGAAGAUGAAGACUGCUGGCACCACAUGGCAGAUCAGAGACACGACAGGGAGCGGCAGAGAGGUGGUGACCUGGGGAGCCCACGCCUGUCUGAAGAGAACUGUCUGUAGUCUGCCCUUACCCACAUACUGACUUGUAGGAAAGUCGAAGUCACGUUGCUGGACUGUCUGAUUUCUCAGGAGAAUGCCACAUUUCGGGUUUUUAUGUGAAAAAAAUUGAUAUCGACAAAUAAUCCAAAUUAAUAAACUUAAAAAGUACA